rnacentral:rRNA from 1 species
UACGAAGGGUGCUAGCGUUGUUCGGAAUUACUGGGCGUAAAGCGCGCGUAGGCGGCUUUUCAAGUCAGGGGUGAAAUCCCACGGCUCAACCGUGGAAUUGCCUUUGAAACUGUAAAGCUAGAGUGUCGGAGGGGAUAGCGGAAUUGCUAAUGUAGAGGUGAAAUUCGUAGCUAUUAGCAGGAACACCGGUGGCGAAGGCGGCUAUCUGGACGACAACUGACGCUGAGGCGCGAAAGCGUGGGGAUCAAACAGG